rnacentral:rRNA from 1 species
CCUACGGGAGGCAGCAGUGGGGAAUAUUGCACAAUGGGGGAAACCCUGAUGCAGCGACGCCGCGUGAGUGAAGAAGUAAUUCGUUACGUAAAGCUCUAUCAGCAGGGAAGAAAAUGACGGUACCUGAGUACGAAGCCCCGGCUAACUACGUGACAGCAGCCGCGGUAAUACGGAGGGGGCAAGCGUUAUCCGGAUUUACUGGGGUUAAAGGGAGCGUAGACGGUGCGCCAAGUCUGGAGUGAAAUGCCGCAGCUUAACUGCGGAACUGCUUUGGAAACUGGCGAACUAGAGUGCGGGAGGGGUAAGCGGAAUUCCUAGUGUAGCGGUGAAAUGCAUAGAUAUUAGGAAGAACACCGGUGGCGAAGGCAGCUUACUGGACCAUAACUGACGUUGAGGCUCGAAAGCGUGGGGAGCGAACAGGAUUAGAUACCCGGGUAGUC